rnacentral:misc_RNA from 1 species
CAAGAGUAUUUCAGUUUGGCUUUAUGCCCUCUGAAAAAUCUCCACCCUUUGUUUACAUUACCUUUGUUGUUGCCUCGGUGGGUGCUUUAUAAGCACCUGCCGGCAGGACACCUUCAAAAACCCUUGGUUUAAUACUAUAGUCAGAGCUGUAACAAGCAAAAGAUUAAUAAAUCAA